rnacentral:rRNA from 1 species
GAUGAACGCUGGCGGCGUGCCUAAUACAUGCAAGUCGAGCGAACAGAUGAGGAGCUUGCUCCGCUUACGUUAGCGGCGGACGGGUGAGUAACACGUGGAUAACCUACCUAUAAGACUGGGAUAACUUCGGGAAACCGGAGCUAAUACCGGAUAAUAUAGUGAACCGCAGGGUUCAAUAGUGAAAGACGGUUUUGCUGUCACUUAGAGAUGGAUCCGCGCCGCAUUAGCUAGUUGGUAAGGUAACGGCUUACCAAGGCAACGAUGCGUAGCCGACCUGAGAGGGUGAUCGGCCACACUGGAACUGAGACACGGUCCAGACUCCUACGGGAGGCAGCAGUAGGGAAUCUUCCGCAAUGGGCGAAAGCCUGACGGAGCAACGCCGCGUGAGUGAUGAAGGUCUUCGGAUCGUAAAACUCUGUUAGUAGGGAAGAACAAAUGUGUAAGUAACUAUGCACGUCUUGACGGUACCUAAUCAGAAAGCCACGGCUAACUACGUG